rnacentral:rRNA from 1 species
UACGAAGGGGGCUAGCGUUGCUCGGAAUGACUGGGCGUAAAGGGCGCGUAGGCGGCGAUCAAGGUCAGAUGUGAAAUUCCUGGGCUUAACCUGGGGGCUGCAUUUGAUACGUGGUGGCUUGAGUGCGGAAGAGGGUCGUGGAAUUCCCGGUGUAGCGGUGAAAUGCGUAGAGAUCGGGAGGAACACCAGAGGCGAAGGCGGCGACCUGGACAGGUACUGACACUCAACUACGAAAGCGUGGGGAGCAAACAGG